rnacentral:rRNA from 1 species
GUAGGUGGCAAGCGUUGUCCGGAAUUAUUGGGCGUAAAGCGCGCGCAGGCGGUUCUUUAAGUCUGAUGUGAAAGCCCACGGCUCAACCGUGGAGGGUCAUUGGAAACUGGAGAACUUGAGUACAGAAGAGGAAAGCGGAAUUCCACGUGUAGCGGUGAAAUGCGUAGAGAUGUGGAGGAACACCAGUGGCGAAGGCGGCUUUCUGGUCUGUAACUGACGCUGAGGCGCGAAAGCGUGGGGGAGCAAACAGGAUUAGAUACCCUGGUAGUCCACGCCGUAAACGAUGAGUGCUAAGUGUUAGGGGGUUUUCCGCCCCGUUAGUGCUGCAGCUAACGCAUUAAGCACUCCGCCUGGGAGUACGGCCGCAAGGCUG